rnacentral:tRNA from 1 species
CAUUAAAUGACUGAAAAGCAAGUACUGGCCUCUUAAGCCACUUUAUAAUAAAUUAGCAAUUAUUUUUAAUGG